rnacentral:rRNA from 1 species
CACGUAGGGCGCAAGCGUUGUCCGGAAUUAUUGGGCGUAAAGAGCUCGUAGGCGGCUUGUCGCGUCGACUGUGAAAACCCGUGGCUCAACCAUGUGGUCUGCAGUCGAUACGGGCAGGCUAGAAUUCGGUAGGGGAGACUGGAAUUCCUGGUGUAGCGGUGAAAUGCGCAGAUAUCAGGAGGAACACCGGUGGCGAAGGCGGGUCUCUGGGCCGAUACUGACGCUGAGGAGCGAAAGCGUGGGGAGCGAACAGG